CAUUUGGUUAUAGAGUAAAUAUUAAAUUAAGUUUAGUAGCGGUAAGUUGCACUGGAUGCAUAGAAAAAUCUUUGUAAGUUAAAUUAGCUAAUGCUCAUGAGCUGUGUUUCAAUGCUCAGUCUUACAAGGGGAACCGAGCCACUUUGAAUACGGCUUCAUUGGGAUCUAAUGUUUAGCAUCACUUGUUUUCCUCAGAAGUUAAACACUGAUAAUGGGACAAGAAAAGAGGGAGCCUGGGGACAAGCAGAGGCCAGUCAUUGCCAUUAGCACCAAUAUAAGGCUUUAACUUA
rnacentral:lncRNA from 1 species